AUUGAACGCUGGCGGAAUGCUUUACACAUGGAAGUCGAACGGCAGCACGGACUUCGGUCUGGUGGCGAGUGGCGAACGGGUGAGUAAUGUAUCGGAACGUGCCCAGUCGUGGGGGAUAACGUAGUGAAAAUUACGCUAAUACCGCAUACGAUCUAUGGAUGAAAGCGGGGGAUCGCAAGACCUCGCGCGAUUGGAGCGGCCGAUAUCAGAUUAGGUAGUUGGUGGGGUAAAGGCUCACCAAGCCAACGAUCUGUAGCUGGCCUGGGAGGACGACCAGCCACACUGGAACUGAGACACGGUCCAGACUCCUACGGGAGGCAGCAGUGGGGAAUUUUGGACAAUGGACGAAAGUCUGAUCCAGCCAUUCCGCGUGCAGGAUGAAGGCCCUCGGGUUGUAAACUGCUUUUGUACGGAACGAAAAGGUCUCUCUUAAUACGGGGGGCUCAUGACGGUACCGUAAGAAUAAGCACCGGCUAACUACGUGCCAGCCGCCGCCGUAA
rnacentral:rRNA from 1 species